UUAAAAAAGCAGAACUGGACACUGAGGCAUUUCAUUAUUUUGGAAUGUAAGUACUAUAUAAUAUUAUUUGUAGUCUUUUGGAAUAUCAUAUUUUAUUUGAACUAAUAAUAUUGUAUAAUAAUAAAUCAUAAAAGCUCUAUUUAGGGACAAGAAAGAACUUUCAACGGCAACACUAAAAAUAAACUGUCACACACACAAAGUCGUCACGAACCGGCAUCGCGUUUGAUGGCUUUGCUUUGUUUCUGUUUAUACAAACUUUUUAAUUUUAUAUUAUAGCUUCAUUUGAAAUAUAGUACAAGUACGUAAAUAUAAUACCUAGACGUGUCUUGCUUGGUGCAGUUACGUAGGUAUGCUAAAAGGAACGUUGGAAGACCGAUGCGGCGCUUUAAAGACUGUGCUAAGCGAGACAUGUCCGCAUUUGAAAUCGACCACCAUACCUGGGAAGCCUUAGCUAAAGACCGUGAUGGAUGGCGCAAGCGUGUAGUGGAGGGGAGAAGAUUAUGCGACCAAGCCUGGUUUAAGAUAGCAGAUAGCAGAAGGUGUCGCAGAAAGAAAGGACUGGAACCUCAGGUGGCAUGAGCUUUCUCUGCCCAAAAUGUGGGAGGUCGUGCCGCUCACGCAUCGGCCUCCACAGUCACCAAACCCGUUGUCUAAACAGCAAUGAAUAAAUCGUCUACAAUAGACGGAAAGACCUGUGAUGAUGACGUGAAUUGCCGAUGUAGUAACGGAACACUACUAAUCCUAAAAUCUACAUAUUAAUCUGACAGUGUCUACUGUUUGCCACUUCAGGACCCAGCCUCUAGCCACUAGAAGUAGCAAUGUAUGCAACAAGAGAGUGAAGAUGAAAUAGUCAAUGCAUCUCUGUACCACAAGUAAAAUAUUUUGAGUGGAAGAUGGUUGAGAUUGAUUCCUGUAUCGACGGACAGACACAUGCUAUGAAGAUUCUCUUAAAAAUAAUAAAAUACAAUUAAUAAAUUCAAUGUUUAACAUGA